AUCUUCGGAUAUGAGUAGAGCGGCGGACGGGUGAGUAACGCGUAGGAAUCUACCUAGUAGAAGGGGAUAGCCCGAGGAAACUCGGAUUAAUACCGUAUACCUCCUUAGGGAGAAAGAGGGCCUCUCUUGAUGCUCUCGCUAUUAGAUGAGCCUGCGUAAGAUUAGCUUGUUGGUGAGGUAAUGGCUCACCAAGGCUACGAUCUUUAGCUGGUCUGAGAGGACGAUCAGCCACAUUGGGACUGAGACACGGCCCAGACUCCUACGGGAGGCAGCAGUGGGGAAUAUUGGACAAUGGGCGCAAGCCUGAUCCAGCCAUACCGCGUGUGUGAAGAAGGCCCUAGGGUUGUAAAGCACUUUAAGCAGGGAGAAAAAGUUAUAAGUUAAUACCUUAUGACCUUGAUGUUACCUGCAGAAUAAGCACCGGCUAAUUCCGCGCCAGCAGCCGCGGUAAUACGGAAGGUGCAAGCGUUAAUCGGAAUUACUGGGCGUAAAGCGCGCGUAGGUGGUUUGUUAAGUUGGAUGUGAAAGCCCUGGGCUCAACCUAGGAACUGCAUCCAAAACUAACUCACUAGAGUACGAUAGAGGGAGGUAGAAUUCAUAGUGUAGCGGUGGAAUGCGUAGAUAUUAUGAAGAAUACCAGUGGCGAAGGCGGCCUCCUGGAUCUGUACUGACACUAAGGUGCGAAAGCGUGGGUAGCGAACAGGAUUAGAUACCCUGGUAGUCCACGCCGUAAACGAUGACAACUGGCUGUUGGAAGACAAUGUCUUUCAGUGGCGCAGCUAACGUUUUAAGUCGUCCGCCUGGGGAGUACGGCCGCAAGGCUAAAACUCAAAUGAAUUGACGGGGACCCGCACAAGCGGUGGAGCAUGUGGUUUAAUUCGAUGCAACGCGAAAAACCUUACCUACUCUUGACAUACUUGGAAACUCUUGUAAUGAGAGUGUGCCUUUUGGAACCAAGAUACAGGUGCUGCAUGGCUGUCGUCAGCUCGUGUCGUGAGAUGUUCCGUUAAGUCGGAUAACGAGCGCAACCCUUACCCUUAUUUGCCAGCGA
rnacentral:rRNA from 1 species